ensembl:lncRNA
AGAUGGGCCUCAUUGUUUGGGGAGGUCUCUCCAAGUUUCUGCUCUUUGUGUUUACAACAUCAACUGAAGUCAUAUUUUAAGCGUGAAGGUGGUGGAAAACUGGACAGUCUCUGUGUUCUGACCUACAGAGAAGGACGUGAACUUGAGAGCCAUUCUUCUACGUUUGCUUUUCUCCUGGGCUAGGAGCACUCGGAACCACAGGGCGCGGGCUGGGUGGGGUCAGCAGGGGCCGGCGGGGUCAGCGGGCGCACACACAUUCCCGUCAUGCUCUGCUGUCUCGGUCCGGCUUCGCCCUCGACGCUGACUCUGCCACGAAGCAGUAUGGGCUGCGUUCCCAGGCUCCCAGAAAAGACCCUGACUUCUGUGGACUGCUCCUUUGCAUGUGCUGUCUCCAGCAGGGGUGCUGGCCUCAGGUUCCGUGGCUGGGAGCUGUGAUCUUUCCUCAUUUCUUACAGACUGCUCCUGAGCCAGAGAACAAAUACCAGUACUUCCGGGUGUCUGGUCCUCGUUAAGCCUGACCCAGUUGAUGGUUCACAGUUUUUACUCUGAAUUGACACCUCACCUGUGGCUGAAUAGCUGCCUCUAUCUUCACUUUUGAAGAAAAGGCCACAGGGGACUGCUCAGCGGUUGCCAGCACUUGUCCUCCCAGCUAGAAUGCCAUGUAACUGGGCUGCUGCUGUCACCACCUUCUUCCCCAGGGAACCAGCUCACCACAGGCCUCUGGGCCUCGCCUGGGGCCCCUGCCAAGCUCCCUGGAGUAUGGCCAUUCUGAGUUCUGUCUUGGAGCCCCUCACUGUCUGGGUCCUCCCACAGGUUGUAAGAGAAGCAAACUGAAAAUGUGCUAAGUCCUUCAUCGCCUCCUUUUUCCAGCCUCUUAUUUGAAGAUCUCUGCAUAUUCCCAGACUCGCACUUCUUAGUAAUUUUCACAAAAAUAACUCCAAGUGACAGCUCAGAGUAAACAUCUUAGCUUUAAAGCCUUUACAAUUAGACCUCCUUUUGCAACUGGAAGGGAGCAGCUGUAAUUAAGAAGUAC